AAGGGAGGCUAGCGGCCCGCACUGAGGCCACCGCCUGCAGCCCCGCCUGCUCUCAGCCGCAGCAACCACGGCAAAUCAAUAGCUGGUGAGGCAGCCGGAAGGGGGAUUUCUGUCCUCUGAUUGGGAGGUGAACGCAGGGGCUGGGUGUGCUGGGUGCCCAGCAGGGCCUCGGGCCGGCAGGCAGGGCCCCGGCCUCGCCUGGCGGCGUUCCGUGGGUCUCUUACUUCGCUGUCUCUGUGCUUCUGUGUCUCUUCUGGCUCUCUCUGUCUCUCUCUCAGAACCUGAACUAGGCCCUGAGAUCUCCCUGAGAAAGUGCCCCCGGGAGCCGCAUGCCCAGGCCUCCCAGGUGAGCCCAUCCCAGGAAGGGGCCGAGCCAGCCAACCCCCUCCCCACGCCACGGUCUGUGGGACCCCACCUCGGCCCUGGCUGGGUCUCCUUUGUCUGCAGCGUUCAUUCAAGUCUGAACAAGCUCCCAAUAUCUUAAAGCCACGAGGCUUCUGCGGAAAACCCAAUUCUGGCCAAUUCUGUGAGGUGGGGCCUAUGCUGCAGACCAGCCGCCCCACCCGCUCCCCUCCCCUCCCAGUAGGACCCCGGCUCAGUUCUCAACCCCGUGGAGCCUCAGGGCUCUCAUCUGCAAAGGGUGAGGGAGCCCCAGGAAAUGAUUCCAGUUCCCCGAGAUGAGCAGGGCUCCCUUCGCAGGCAAGGUGUGAGAAGCAGGGUCGGGAUUCCAGUGGGACCAACAGUGGAACCAGGGAGAAGACAGCGGCUGCAGAGCCUCCAGGAGGAACUGCGAUGGUCAACUGGAAGACAGACAGACAUAUGGACAGGCACAGAGAUGACGAAGAGGCAGCCCAAAGGACGGACAGGUGAGGGGAGAGGGAGUGGAUGAGAGGAAUUGUGUGAAGGGGCUCUGCACAGAGUAAGCAAUGAGGUGUGA
rnacentral:lncRNA from 1 species